AACGAACGCUGGCGGCAUGCCUAACACAUGUAAGUCGAACGAGACCUUCGGGUCUAGUGGCGCACGGGUGCGUAACGCGUGGGAACCUGCCCUUAGGUUCGGAAUAACUCCCCGAAAGGGGUGCUAAUACCGGAUAAUGUCUUCGGACCAACGAUUUAUCGCCUUUGGAUGGGCCCGCGUUGGAUUAGCUAGUUGGUAGGGUAAAAGCCUACCAAGGCGACGAUCCAUAGCUGGUCUGAGAGGAUGAUCAGCCACACUGGGACUGGGACACGGCCCAGACUCCUACGGAGGGCUGCAGUGGUGAAUAUUGGACAGUGGCCGAAGGCCAGCUCCAUCAAUGCCGCGUGAGUGAUAAUGGCCUUAGGGUUGUAAGCUCUUUUACCCGGGAUGAUAAUGACAGUACCGGGAGAAUAAGCUCCGGCUAACUCCGUG
rnacentral:rRNA from 1 species